rnacentral:rRNA from 1 species
GGGACGAACGCUGGCGGCGUGCUUAACACAUGCAAGUCGAACGGUGAUGCUGGAGCUUGCUCCAGCUGAUCAGUGGCGAACGGUGAGUAACACGUGAGCAACCUGCCCUUGACUCUGGGAUAACCCCGGGAAACCGGAGCUAAUACCGGAUACGAACCGCAUAGGCAUCUGCGCGGUUGGAAAGAUUUAUCGGUCAAGGAUGGGCUCGCGGCCUAUCAGCUUGUUGUGGGGUAAUGGCCCACCAAGGCGACGAC